CGUCAGUGACUUGCUGUUGCCAGAACUGGACACGGACAACAGUGAUUCAGAAUAUCGAAUUCCAUCACCUGAAAGUGAUGAUGAUGCUGAUUAUGAGCCACCUUCAUCGACUGCUCCUGCUCCAGCGUCAGCCCCCCCACCUCUGUUUAUAUAUAUAUAUGUAUAUAUAUAUAUAUAUAUAUAUAUAUAUAUAUAUAUAUAUAUAUCUUUAUCCCUAGUGAUUGUAGUUUUUAGCUGUGUUUUUACCUUUGUUUUUACAGUUUGGUUUUAUUAUAUGUUGUUCUCAAAUAUAUCUGCUCCAGUUGGAGUCAAACUGCAUUUCGAUUGUAUGGUUUUCUUUGAGUGGGAAAAUGUAUAGAGGUCUGGGUGAAAUUUCAAAACAAGUCAAAACUGUUGAAUUUGGAUGGAAUGAAUACCUAUAGUGAUAUGUCAGUGAAAUAAAAUUAGUUUUACAGUCUGGUACCUUAGAAAGGUCAAAUGGCACUGAU